GACGAACGCUGGCGGCGUGCUUAACACAUGCAAGUCGAACGGAAAGGCCCUGCUUUUGUGGGGUGCUCGAGUGGCGAACGGGUGAGUAACACGUGAGUAACCUGCCCUUGACUUUGGGAUAACUUCAGGAAACUGGGGCUAAUACCGGAUAGGAGCUCCUGCUGCAUGGUGGGGGUUGGAAAGUUUCGGCGGUUGGGGAUGGACUCGCGGCUUAUCAGCUUGUUGGUGGGGUAGUGGCUUACCAAGGCUUUGACGGGUAGCCGGCCUGAGAGGGUGACCGGCCCCAUUGGGACUGAGAUACGGCCCAGACUCCAACGGGAGGCAGCAGUGGGGAAUAUUGCACAAUGGGCGGAAGCCUGAUGCAGCAACGCCGCGUGCGGGAUGACGGCCUUCGGGUUGUAAACCGCUUUCGCCUGUGACGAAGCGUGAGUGACGGUAAUGGGUAAAGAAGCACCGGCUAACUACGUG
rnacentral:rRNA from 1 species